ACUGCGUGCACAAACUUCUUGCCAACAUUUAUUAUCAGUCUCAUCUUUCAAAUCCCAAGUCAAUCAAGUGGGAAAAGUUUCUCUUUCUUAUACCUACCACGCCUUCUCACAUACUUUCUUUCUUCUUCAACUUUCUAUUUUUCCCCCAAAUUUCCAUUCUCUGCUUAUCGCUUUAUUUUCCCUCCUUUCAUGUCUUGCGAAUUCUGUUUGACAUUUUAUGAUUCAAUCUUUUUUCUGUUCCAAAUCUUCUUUACCCCAUAGCAACUAUCUAAGAAUGGCUUCGAAACGUUCUAGCAAGUCUUCGACUAACGCUCCAUCUUCGUCUCCAGCCAUUAAUCCUGCCAAAAGCCCUAAAACUUGCAGAAAAAUACGAUGAGGCAUGUGUUGAACCUCAUUGCAAACGCAUCAUUCCUCCCACCAUCACAAUUCGUCAUCUCUCUGAAGAGGAACUCAAGAAAUUUCGUUUUGAGGAUAUCUGUGCCCCAAACAAAAUCAUCAUGGGUUCCAAACAUUUAGAAUUGAUUUAGCUUCCGCUUCUUCCCCUUCUAAUUUAUUUGCUGGAGAUUACAAAAAUCAACCUGAUGCAACUUGUACCGAACGAUAUUCAAUCAUUAUGUGGUGCUACUAUGAUUGAGCACCUUUACAAAACGUCUAUUAAUGUUCAGGAUGUUUUUCUUGCUUUUCACGCACCAUUCACCCUCGAAGCUUAAACGAUCGACCAUAUAACACUUAUUAUCUUACUCCAAGGAGGAGGCAGUUCAUGUUCAAAGAUCAAGUACAAUCCAACAAGCAAUGGGAUGAACUUCCCUUUGUGGUCAGUGGAGGCUGGUAUCCUUCUUUCGUGCCCAAGGAUAUCUUCAAUCUGUCCCGCAUUUUCCAAUUAGAAAUUCAAUGGCCUUCUAACGUCACAUGGUCUGAGCAGCGUGAGUCUCAACUCUAUUUUCUCAAAAUUAUUCCUGAGCACAAAGACGACCCUACUAUGAUCGAGCAUUUGUUCAAGGGACCUCUAAAGGGUUUGAUGUCUAGGCUCAACUUCCCACACAGUAUCAACCGCCAAGCUACUUUCCUUCUUGCUGACUGUGACAAACAGUUGGAACUAGGGGUGUUCAUAAAAUCGUCAACACCGCACCACACCACAUCGCAAUUUACGGUUUAGAAUCCUUUGCGUCCCCUUCGAUAUGUAUUCUUGCUACGAUAGGAUGCUGCAUAAGCCGUUUAGACCAUUUGCGUUUGGCAAUACUCGCGAACAAUACCGUUGGUGGGAGUCGUUGCCAUGUGAAGUGCAUCGACCAUGGUAUUCUUCUCGUAGGCUGAGCAAAAUUUUCUAUCGAGGUCACUGGCUUGUUUCAUCAUGGACUUUACAGCGCAUGCUGAAUAAUUGUCUUCCGUACUGCAUUGCGAGUUUACGCUACCAGUUGGGUUCAGAAGAUUUGUGGCAUGCCAUUGCGGAUUAUGCGCGUAUAUUUUCUCCUCGUCUUCAACGUUAUGCGCAUAGCCAUAGACACAUCUAACUUGGUUCAUGACUUUUGAUGUUCAAUGUCUCCAUAUCACUUUGUAGUCUUUUUAAGAAUCAUCAUUCUAUGCAUUCAUUUUCUUUAAAUGUAGGGCACUGCAAACUCCAUUCAGGUUUAAUGGCUUCAUUUCAAUUUACUCAUUUCUUCCUUUUGUUUUAAUUGAGUUGUUUAAAGUUGUUGAGGUAA